AAAAAGCAACAGAAAAUGGGAGCGCGUGCGCAGCGACCAGCAGCCGGGAGCGCCCCCAGGGGCGCCGGAAACCUCCUGAAGGCCACUGCGCCUUUGAAGCGCUGGGCCUCCUCUGGUCCUUGUUUCAGUCCCCGGACCUGCCUCCAGAAUACCAUGCGUACGUGCUCUGCCGGCAACAGGCCUGUCAGAAGACCAGAUCUCUUUAGUUGAGCACCGUUUUAACCCAAGGUGGCAGCACCACAUUGGGAGUUCUCCACGGCACCCACUAAUGUAGGGGGACGCUGAACCGCGGAGGAGAGGUUGCCGGGCUAGACAGCAAAGAAGUGGCAGGAGUUCUGGUCUCAGUUUUUAGAGAAAACAGACUUCCCAUUUCAGUCCUGAAAUCCUUCACGGCUCAUCCCUCAGAGCCUCGUGAGAUGAGCACUGCAGAAAAAUACUACGCGGGCCGGCCCAGUGGCGCAGCAGUUAAGUUCGCACAGUCCCCUUCAGCAGCCCAGGGUUCGCCAGCCUGGAUCCCGGGCGUGGACCUAUGCACUGCAUGUCAAGCCAUGCUGUGGCAGGCAUCCCACAUAUAAAGUAGAGGAAGAUGGGCACGGAUCUUAGCUCAGGGCCAGUCUUCCUCAGCAAAAAGAGGAGAAUUGGCGGCGGAUGUUAGCUCAGGGCUAAUCUUCCUCAAAAAAAACAAAAAAGUAAAAUUUCGUUCAUUUAAAAAUCAUGCCUUGCUUUCAGGGGUGGCAGGUGGGGAGUAAUGGAUGCUCUAAGGAGCUGCACGUUAAAUAUUGAUGUCUGGCUAAAAUACACCAAGG
rnacentral:lncRNA from 1 species